rnacentral:lncRNA from 1 species
GUAGAAGAUUCCCAACUCAAAGGCCCUGAAAAUAUCUUCAACAAAAUUAUAGAAGAAAAUUUCACUAACCUAAAGAAAGAAAUGCCUUUAAACAUACAAGAACCUCACAGAGCAUCAAUUAAAGUGAACCAAAAUCCUCUGCCACAAAAUAAUCAAAACACUAAAAGUACAAAACAAAGAAAAAUAUUAAAAGUCAUAAGAGAUACAGGACAAAUAACAUACAAAGGCAGAUCUAUUAGACUUGCACCAGACUUUUUAACAGAGAUGUCAAAAGAUAAAAAUCUGUACAGAUGUCUUAUAGUGUCUAAAAUACCACAGAUGCCAACACAGACUCCUAUACCCAGCAAAAAUUUUAAUCACCAUAAAUGGAGAAAACAAGGCAUUCCAUGAAGAAAAAUUUAAACAGUAUCUUUUGACUAAUCCAAGCUUUGUAAAGUAUAUUAGAAGGGAAACUCCAUCACUAGGAUGGUAACUAUACCCAAGAAAACAAACAAACAAACAAACAAACAAACAAAUAAAUCAAAACUAGCAAAACCAAAAGAAGAGAAACACACACAUACACACACACACCACAUAUACACACACAAAGUACUAUCACCAACAUCAAAAUAAACAGGAACUAACACUCAUUGGUCAUUAAUAUCUCUCAACAUCAAUGGUCUCAAUUACCAAAUAAAAAGGCACAGACUAACAGAGUAGAUACUUAAACAUCAUCCAACAGUCUACUGUGUACAAAAAAAAAAAAAAAAAAAAAAAAAAAACCCAUCUCAAAAAAAAAAAAAAAAAAAAAAAAGUACAAAUUACCGCAGAGUAAAGGGCUGGAAAAAAAUGUCUUCUAAAGAAAUGAAUCCAGCUCUUUAAGCUCUCACAUUUCUUACUCUCAUCUCUAGCCCUCUUCUCUCUCUCUCCCUCCCUGCCCCCUCCACGUGUCCAUGGCAGGCCUCUCCCUCUUUCUACCUUCUCUCUUUCUCCCCUCCUUGCUACAAUAAAGCUCUAAAACC